AUUGAACGCUGGCGGCAGGCCUAACACAUGCAAGUCGAGCGGAUGAGUGGAGCUUGCUCCAUGAUUCAGCGGCGGACGGGUGAGUAAUGCCUAGGAAUCUGCCUGGUAGUGGGGGACAACGUUUCGAAAGGAACGCUAAUACCGCAUACGUCCUACGGGAGAAAGCAGGGGACCUUCGGGCCUUGCGCUAUCAGAUGAGCCUAGGUCGGAUUAGCUAGUUGGUGGGGUAAAGGCUCACCUAGGCGACGAUCCGUAACUGGUCUGAGAGGAUGAUCAGUCACACUGGAACUGAGACACGGUCCAGACUCCUACGGGAGGCAGCAGUGGGGAAUAUCGGACAAUGGGCGAAAGCCUGAUCCAGCCAUGCCGCGUGUGUGAAGAAGGUCUUCGGAUUGUAAAGCACUUUAAGUUGGGAGGAAGGGCAGUAAGUUAAUACCUUGCUGUUUUGACGUUACCAACAGAAUAAGCACCGGCUAACUUCGUG
rnacentral:rRNA from 1 species